CCUGGGGUAAGAUGGCUAGGCACAUGUGAACAGCCGCAGGGUGGGAAAGUCCGGUGAGAGUCCGGCGCUGUGCCGCAGCUGUGAUGAGAGUUUGGGCCGACUUGAAAGACUGUUUGAAAGACUUUGAAGACCCACAAAACUCCUCAGCCAGAACGCCAGCCUGCUGCUUUUUCACUCU
rnacentral:ncRNA from 1 species